rnacentral:rRNA from 1 species
GACGAACGCUGGCGGCGUGCCUAAUACAUGCAAGUAGAACGCUGAAGAGAGGAGCUUGCUCUUCUUGGAUGAGUUGCGAACGGGUGAGUAACGCGUAGGUAACCUGCCUGGUAGCGGGGGAUAACUAUUGGAAACGAUAGCUAAUACCGCAUAAAAUGGAUUAUCGCAUGAUAAUCCAUUGAAAGGUGCAAAUGCAUCACUACCAGAUGGACCUGCGUUGUAUUAGCUAGUUGGUGGGGUAACGGCUCACCAAGGCGACGAUACAUAGCCGACCUGAGAGGGUGAUCGGCCACACUGGGACUGAGACACGGCCCAGACUCCUACGGGAGGCAGCAGUAGGGAAUCUUCGGCAAUGGACGGAAGUCUGACCGAUCAACGCCGCGUGAGUGAAGAAGGUUUUCGGAUCGUAAAGCUCUGUUGUAAGAGAAGAACGAGUGUGAGAGUGGAAAGUUCACACUGUGACGGUAUCUUACCAGAAAGGGACGGCUAACUACGUG